UACGUAGGGGGCAAGCGUUGUCCGGAAUCACUGGGCGUAAAGCGCGCGCAGGCGGCGAUCUACGUCCGGGGUGAAAGCCCAGAGCUCAACUCUGGGACUGACUUGGAUACGGGAUCGCUUGAGGAUCGGAGAGGAUAGUGGAAUUCCCAGUGUAGUGGUGAAAUACGUAGAGAUUGGGAAGAACACCAGUGGCGAAGGCGGCUAUCUGGACGGUUUCUGACGCUAAGACGCGAAAGCGUGGGGAGCAAACAGG
rnacentral:rRNA from 1 species